CAAUAGCGUAUAUUAAAGUUGUUGCAGUUAAAAAGCUCGUAGUUGGAUUUCCGGUCGGAAGCUCCUGUCCUCUGAUGAGCGUACAAGUGCGUCCUACCAUCCUUCUGUUAACCUUUAAGGCUUUCGCGGCUUUCUAGGGGCUCAGAUAUUUUACCUUGAGAAAAUUAGAGUGUUUCAGGCAGGCUAGCGCCGGAAUACAUUAGCAUGGAAUAAUGGAAUAGGACUUUUGCCUCUUCUGUUGGUCAUGAGGCUCGAGUAAUGAUUAAUAGGGAUAGUUGGGGGCAUUAGUACUUAACUGUCAGAGGUGAAAUUCUCGGAUUUGUUAAAGACUAACUUAUGCGAAAGCAUUUGCCAAGGAUGUUUUCAUUAA
rnacentral:rRNA from 1 species